CACACGUGGCAUACAAAGACGGAGACAAUGCGUUCCGACGCCGAAAGGCGAAGGCAAUCGCCUAAACUCCGCCCCAGUUCAGAUUGGGGGCUGAAACUCGUCCCCAUGAAGUUGGAAUCCCUAGUAAUCGCGUGUCAUCAUCGCGCGGUGAAUAUGUCCCCGCUCCUUGCACACACCGCCCGUCAAGUCAUCCAAGCUAGGUUUUAGUGAGGCUUGCCCUUUCAGGGUGAUUCGAGCUAGAGCUUGGUGAGGAGGAUUAAGUCGUAAACAUUUGUUGCGACCCGCAGCCCGCGAGGGCAGCGGAAAAACUUCGC
rnacentral:ncRNA from 1 species